rnacentral:rRNA from 1 species
UACGGAGGAUGCGAGCGUUAUCCGGAUUUAUUGGGUUUAAAGGGUGCGCAGGCGGAAUGUCAAGUCAGCGGUAAAAUUUCGGGGCUCAACCCCGUCGUGCCGUUGAAACCGGAGCGCUAGAAUUCCGAUGCCGUCGGAGGAAUGUGUGGUGUAGCGGUGAAAUGCAUAGAUAUCACGCAGAACUCCGAUUGCGAAGGCAGCAUACCGGCGCCCGACUGACGCUGAAGCACGAAAGCGUGGGUAUCGAACAGG